GACGAACGCUGGCGGCGUGCUUAACACAUGCAAGUCGAGGGCACUAUGGGGGCAACCUUAGUAGUGACCGGCGAACGGGUGCGUAACACGUGAGCGACCUUGCCUCGUGGUGGGGAGUAGCCGGCCCAACGGCCGGGUAAUACCGCAUAUGGUGCUUCUCUCGCAUGGGAGAGGUAGCAAAGCCUUGCAGCAAUGCAAUGGCGCCACAGGGGGGCGGUC
rnacentral:rRNA from 1 species